UACAACUUUGAGCGGUGGAUCACUCGGCUCGUGCGUCGAUGAAGAGCGCAGCCAGCUGCGUGAAUUAAUGUGAAUUGCAGAACACAUUGAACAUCGACAUCUUGAACGCAUAUGGCGGCCUCGGGUCCAUCCCGAGGCCACGCCCGUCUGAGGGUCGGC
rnacentral:rRNA from 1 species